UGGGUGACCUGCCCUCAGCUCUGGGAUAAGCCUGGGAAACUGGGUCUAAUACUGGAUAUUCACUUCCUAUCGCAUGGUGGGUGGUGGAAAGUUUUUCGGCUGGGGAUGGGCCCGCGGCCUAUCAGCUUGUUGGUGGGGUGAUGGCCCACCAAGGCGACGACGGGUAGCCGGCCUGAGAGGGCGUCCGGCCACACUGGGACUGAGACACCGGCCCAGACCUCCGUACGGGAG
rnacentral:rRNA from 1 species